rnacentral:misc_RNA from 1 species
AACUUACCUAUAACGUUGCUUCGGCGGGAACAGACGGCCCCGUAAAACGGGCCGCCCCCGCCAGAGGACCCCUAACUCUGUCUUUAUAAUGUUUUUCUGAGUAAACAAGCAAAUAAAUUAAAACUUUCAACAACGGAUCUCUUGGCUCUGGCAUCGAUGAAGAACGCAGCGAAAUGCGAUAAGUAAUGUGAAUUGCAGAAUUCAGUGAAUCAUCGAAUCUUUGAACGCACAUUGCGCCCGCCAGUAUUCUGGCGGGCAUGCCUGUUCGAGCGUCAUUACAACCCUCAGGCCUCCGGGCCUGGCGUUGGGGAUCGGCGGACCGUCCCCCAAAUACAGUGGCGGCCCCGCCGCAGCUUCCAUUGCGUAGUAGCUAACACCUCGCAACUGGAGAGCGGCGCGGCCACGCCGUAAAACACCCAACUUCUGAA